UGGUCGAUAGAACAAUGUAGGUAAGGGAAGUCGGCAAAUCGGAUCCGUAACUUCGGGAAAAGGAUUGGCUCUGAGGAUCGGGGCGGUCGGGCCGGAUCAGGAAGUAGUUUGUGCUCACGUGCUGGGCCUGGACAAGGCUUUCGGGCUGAGUUCGGUCCCAUGCCGCGGCCUGCUAUGGAUCGGUUCGGCUAGGAGAGCCCAUGGUUCACGCUGUGGGAGUCCUCUCUUCGGCCUCCAUUGAACGAUCAGCUCAGAACUGGCACGGACCGGGGGAAUCCGACUGUCUAAUUAAAACAAAGCAUUGUGAUGGCUCUUGCGGGUGUUGACACAAUGUGAUUUCUGCCCAGUGCUAUGAAUGUCAAAGUGAAGAAAUUCAUCCAAGCGCUAGUUAACGGCGGGAGUAACUAUGACUCUCUUAAGGUAGCCAAAUGCCUCGUCAUCUAAUUAGUGACGCGCAUGAAUGGAUUAACGAGAUUCCCACUGUCCCUAUCUACUAUCUAGCGAAACCACAGCCAAGGGAACGGGCUUGGGCCCAUCGGCGGGGAAAGAAGACCCUGUUGAGCUUGACUCUAGUCUGGCUUUGUGAGGAGACACGAGAGGUGUAGCAUAAGUGGGAGACUUCGGUCGACUUUGAAAUACCACUACUCCCGUCGUUUCCUCACUUACUCGGUGAGGCGGGAAGCGGCCGCAGUGUCUUCGGACACUGUUGUCGGAAUUGUUGAGCCAAGUCCCUAGUCUCUUAGAGAGCGGGUGCUUUUUGGAGGGCGCAGUGUCGGGGUAAAACUUGGUGUUGCGUUUGAAGAUUAGUGCUGGGACGACUCGAUCCGAGGA
rnacentral:rRNA from 1 species